UGUUCUCUGAUUUCUACAGACAUGAGAUGCUAUUACCCUGGUUUUAGGAGCAGAAGCUGAGGGUAAGAGAAGUAGUAACAAUUUGGAAACGGCACUGAAGAUAGAAUUCCAGAGUUGUCAGCACUCUGACAGCAGUUUACAGUGCUGUCAAAUUCCUACCAUAGGAGAUGGAACAGAGGAGCAAACAAAGCAGGGGCUGUAAACCCAGCCCCUCCAGCACAGGGCAGGGAGAUAUGCAAUGUGGUGAUUCAGUAAUUCUAUAUAUUACUCAGUGCUCAUCAUGGUAAGUGUACCUUUUAAUUCCCGUUACCUGUUUUAGCCAUCCCCCUCCCACCUCCCCUCUGGAGUCAUCAGUUUUUCUCUAUAGUAAAGAGUCUGUUUCUUGAUUUCUUUUCUUUCUCUCU